GAGGGGAGAAUUAGGAUUAAAAGGGAGGAUAGGUUGAGAAAUGGAGGGGAGAGAAUAAGGGUUUUUUAAAGGUCGGAGAGCUAGCUUCAUGCUUCGUGGCGGAAAAAAAAGACAGAGAAUUGGGAUUUUUUUUCAUAGGGUUUUGAGAAGACGGAGGCAAUCGUUGCUGAAGUCAGUGUUGUACUGGUGAAUCGGGGUUUUAAUGAAGUGGGUGUGAUUAUUCUUGACUGUUUUGUGAAAUCGAAGUUACGUCUGUGAUUGAAGGAUUAAAAGGGUGUCUAUAGGAUUGAG
rnacentral:lncRNA from 1 species